rnacentral:tRNA from 1 species
AAUUCUAGUUAAAUAUAUAAUAUAGGACUGUCAGCCCUAAGUUACUAAAAAUAGUGAAUUCUG